UUGUCCGGAUUUACUGGGCGUAACGAGCGUUUAGGCGGCCAAGCAGGUCCGUUGUGAAAACUGGAGGCUUAACCUCCAGACGUCGACGGAAACCGCGUGGCUAGAGUCCGGAAGAGGAGAGUGGAAUUCCUGGUGUAGCGGUGAAAUGCGCAGAUAUCAGGAAGAACACCAAUGGCGAAGGCAGCUCUCUGGGACGGUACUGACGCUGAGACGCGAAAGCGUGGGGAGCGAACAGG
rnacentral:rRNA from 1 species